GCUUCGAUUCCGCCCUUCCCAUCCCGCAGCCCCCCGGCCCCGUCUUCUUCUCCCCCCCUAGCUCUGUAGCUCCCUGCCCCCCACUCCCCGGCCUCGGAGAAAGGAAGGCCGCCCUGGCACCGGCUCCUCCUCCUCCCCCUGCUUCGCCUUCCCGUCCCGGUCUGGAGCAGAGAUGGGUGUCUUCGGUGGAACACCUCCUCCAACCUGCCCCUCGUCGCGGCACUGCGCAGAAUGGGCCCGAACCUACCUGAAGUAUUGCUUGUGCAGCCAGAAGGACAGUGCUGCCCUGGCACUUGGGCUGAUCAGUGUCAUAAGCUGGGGCGUCGCCGAGGUGCCACAGAUAAUAACAAAUUACAGACAGAAGUCAACUGAAGGGCUUUCUAUCGCUUUUCUAAUGACCUGGAUAGUUGGGGAUUUGUUUAACCUUGUCGGCUGCUUCCUGGAACCUGCUACUCUGCCGACCCAGUUUUACAUGGCAUUGCUGUAUACAAUAACUACUGUGAUCCUAACUGGACAGACAAUAUACUAUAGCCACAUCUACCACCAUCUUAAAGCGAAGAAAUCCAGGGCAACCAGCAAGCCUCAGAAGCAUCAGCGAGGGGAUACUUCAUUACUUGAGAAGCUUUUGGGUGCCAAGGAUGGUGGGGUAUCCAGAAACAACAACCAGUCAAAUGCUACAAUUCCUAUUCCAAGCUCACCUAUUCCUGUUAAUACGAAAUUUGCCGAACAAUACCAUACUCCAAGCAGCCCCACCUCAGACUACUACUAUAUGUCAGCUAGAUCUUUAUCAAGGAGUCCAGUGCCAACUGCUGGUACAUGGUUGGGCAAUAGUCGUCAGUCAUCAAAGACGCCUCCACAAACGAAUGGCCAAAGCGAACCUUUAAUUGGUGAGAUCACUACAGCACAAUCUGCAUCACCUACUAGAACGAAAAAUACCCUCUCAGUGGUACCGUGGCUGGGUCUUCUGUUCAGCAUGUGUCUCUUGCACCUUUUAGUUGGAAGCACACAUAGGGAAGUGCCAAGUGGAACUGUCAUACCAGUGGGACGAAGGCUUUUACUGUUUAAUGAUGAUCAAGGACAUUCAUCUCUCAGCCAUGGCAAUGGAAGUGAAAUUGGAAUCUUUCUUGGUUGGGCAAUGGCAAUAAUCUAUAUGGGUGGACGGCUGCCCCAGAUUUUCUUAAAUAUGCAAAGAGGCCAUGUUGAGGGGCUCAAUCCAUUAAUGUUUACCUUUGCUUUAUUGGGGAAUUCGACAUAUGUAGGAAGUAUACUUGUAAAUAGCCUGGAAUGGUCAAAACUUAGACCAAAUCUGCCUUGGCUUGUAGAUGCUGGAGGAUGUGUUUUACUGGAUUUUUUUAUUAUUCUUCAGUUCCUUUAUUUUCAUUACCAGAAGCAAAAUGAGCCUUCAGAUGAGCACGAACACAAUGCAGAUAAAGCUUAGUCGACAGCAAGAGAUAAAUCCCUUUCCUUCUUCAGGGCAAAAGUCAGCAGAUGUACGGAUGGGUCGUCUACCCUCCCCAGUUGACCUGAAGGUACCUCCCAUACUCCAGCGGCCCCGCAUUUCUGAGAUGCGCUAGCGUUCAUUGUUCCUCGGAAGAACCCAGGGCAUUUUCUGGGGCGUUGUUUCAGAAGUUGGUGCCUGGAGGGUGACUCGGAGCGAGCGUCAUGUGGAGACGCUUCUGGCAGUUUUUCUGUUCUGUAGUAUACCAGAAUGUCUCGUUUUUCUGUUCUGUAGUACAUCAAAUGUUGACUCGCUUUCUUCCGUUUUCUGUUCUUUUCGUAGCUUCUUUUCCCUUGGAACGGUCUGUAUAUUCGAGACGGUAUCAUCGGACAACAAAGUGUUGAUUAUUAAUACGAAUUUUUUAUCAGCCUGC